UUCUUAAUCCUAAUUCAAUUAUGUGUGGUUAAUAAUUAACCAAUUUAAUGUUGAAAGAAGUGGAAUUCUUUACUUUUUCUUCUACAGAAACCGCUCAUUUGCUCAAGAACCAAUCUUUGGAUUCUCAAUGAAGACAUUAGUAAUUCAUGAGUCCGCUAAGAAGAUGAGGCAUAAAGGUAGUCUUCGGUUGAUAUCACUGGCACCGGUAAUGGUCAGAACCCGCCUUGGGAUGGUUUAGUUAACCGUUUGGUACCAGAUUUCAUGGAUCUAACAGUGGCUUAUUUUCCCAACGGCAAUUAUUAUAUAGGUUAUUAUGGUACCACCAAUGAUUGGGAUAACUACUUGAGAUAUGUAAAUCCUGAUGGAGUUCAUAUGUCUCAUGUAAGAUUUUGUUUCACUCUUUUGAUGUUCCAACUAGC